rnacentral:tRNA from 1 species
GGGACCAUGGCGCAGUUGGUUAGCGCGCAGGUCUCAUAUUCUACUGAAUAUGAUCAGAUGUGAUAUCUGAGUAAUCCUGAGGUCGUGAGUUCGAAACUCACUGGUCCCA